UGGGGAAUAUUGGGCAAUGGGGGCAACCCUGACCCAGCGACACCGCGUGGGGGAAGACGGCCUUCGGGUUGUAAACCUCUUUUGUACGGGAAGAAGGAAGUGACGGUACUGUACGAAUAAGUCCCGGCUAACUACGUGCCAGCAGCCUCGGUUAUACGUAGUGUACGAGCGUUUUCCGGUAUUUCUUGGCGUAAAUGGCGCUCAGGCUGUGCUUCAAUUCAGCUGUUAAAUGUAUGGGCUUAACCCGGGCAUGCGGUUGAGACUGCGGUGCUGGAGUGCUGUAGAGGCAAGAGGAAUUCCCAGUGUAGCGGUGAAAUGCGUAGAUAUUGGGAAGAACACCGGUGGCGAAGGCGACUUGCUGGGCAGCAACUGACGCUGAGGCGCGAAAGCCAGGGGAGCAAA
rnacentral:rRNA from 1 species